rnacentral:rRNA from 1 species
UACGUAGGGUGCGAGCGUUAAUCGGAAUUACUGGGCGUAAAGCGUGCGCAGGCGGUUCGUUGUGUCGGCGGUGAAAGCCCCGGGCUUAACCUGGGAAUGGCCGUUGAAACUGGCGAACUGGAGUGUGACAGAGGGGGGUGGAAUUCCGCGUGUAGCAGUGAAAUGCGUAGAGAUGCGGAGGAACACCGAUGGCGAAGGCAGCCCCCCUGGGCUAACACUGACGCUCAGGCACGAAAGCGUGGGGAGCAAACAGG